rnacentral:rRNA from 1 species
GAUACCCUGGUAGUCCACGCCGUAAACGAUGUCGAUUUGGAGGUUGUGCCCUUGAGGCGUGGCUUCCGGAGCUAACGCGUUAAAUCGACCGCCUGGGGAGUACGGCCGCAAGGUUAAAACUCAAAUGAAUUGACGGGGGCCCGCACAAGCGGUGGAGCAUGUGGUUUAAUUCGAUGCAACGCGAAGAACCUUACCUGGUCUUGACAUCCACAGAACUUUCCAGAGAUGGUUUGGUGCCUUCGGGAACUGUGAGACAGGUGCUGCAUGGCUGUCGUCAGCUCGUGUUGUGAAAUGUUGGGUUAAGUCCCGCAACGAGCGCAACCCUUAUCCUUUGUUGCCAGCGGUUCGGCCGGGAACUCAAAGGAGACUGCCAGUGAUAAACUGGAGGAAGGUGGGGAUGACGUCAAGUCAUCAUGGCCCUUACGAGCAGGGCUACACACGUGCUACAAUGGCAUAUACAAAGAGAAGCGACCUCGCGAGAGCAAGCGGACCUCAUAAAGUAUGUCGUAGUCCGGAUUGGAGUCUGCAACUCGACUCC